GAUGAACGCUGACCGAAUGCUUAACACAUGCAAGUCAACUUGAACUUCGGUUUGGGUGGCGGACGGGUGAGUAACGCGUAAAGAACUUGCCUCACAGAUAGGGACAACAUUUGGAAACGAAUGCUAAUACCUGAUAUUAUGAUUAUAUGGCAUCGUAUAAUUAUGAAAGCUAUAUGCGCUGUGAGAGAGCUUUGCGUCCCAUUAGCUAGUUGGAGAGGUAACGGCUCACCAAGGCGAUGAUGGGUAGCCGGCCUGAGAGGGUGAUCGGCCACAAGGGGACUGAGACACGGCCCUUACGCCUACGGGAGGCAGCAGUGGGGAAUAUUGGACAAUGGACCAAGAGUCUGAUCCAGCAAUUCUGUGUGCACGAUGAAGUUUUUCGGAAUGUAAAGUGCUUUCAGUUGGGAAGAAAAAAAUGACGGUACCAACAGAAGAAGAGACGGCUAAAUACGUG
rnacentral:rRNA from 1 species